GUCGUCGUCGCACUCUCGUCGCGCGUGACGCGCGCGCCCGCCUGCCGGGGCGACGCUGUACGUCGCGCUGAACGACGAGCUGUGUGUGCGCGCGCGCGCGAGCUCAAGUGCUGUGACACACGCCCGUCGGGCGAAAGGGAAUCCGGUUCCUAUUCCGGAACCCGGCAGCGGAACCGCAUACAAUUCGGGCCCUCGUAAGAGUGUUCGUCGGGGUAACCCAAAAUGACCUGGAGACGCCGUCGGGAGAUCCGGGAAGAGUUUUCUUUUCUGUAUAAGCGUUCGAGUUCCCUGGAAACCUCUAGCAGGGAGAUAGGGUUUGGAACGCGAAGAGCACCGCAGUUGCGGCGGUGUCCGGAUCUUCCCCUCGGACCUUGAAAAUCCAGGAGAGGGCCACGUGGAGGUGUCGCGCCGGUUCGUACCCAUAUCCGCAGCAGGUCUCCAAGGUAAAGAGCCUCUAGUCGAUAGACUAAUGUAGGUAAGGGAAGUCGGCAAAUUGGAUCCGUAACUUCGGAAUAAGGAUUGGCUCUGAGGAGCGGGGCGUGUCGGGCUUGGUCGGGAAGCGGGUCUGGCUGACGUGCCGGGCCUGGGCGAGGUGAACGCUCGGCGUUCUCGCGCCGAACACGGGAUCCGAGCUCGGUCCCGUGCCUUGGCCUCCCGCGGAUCUUCCUUGCUGCGAGGCUUCCGUGGCGGCGCGAGCCGUCGCGGUCGUCCUCUUCGGCCGCCAUUCAACGCUCAGCUCAGAACUGGCACGGACUAGGGGAAUCCGACUGUCUAAUUAAAACAAAGCAUUGCGAUGGCCCUCGCGGGUGUUGACGCAAUGUGAUUUCUGCCCAGUGCUCUGAAUGUCAACGUGAAGAAAUUCAAGCAAGCGCGGGUAAACGGCGGGAGUAA
rnacentral:ncRNA from 1 species